UUUUCCACGAGAACGACUCUUUACAAUCAGUGAAAACCGUUCUUGCAGUCGCUGGUAAUGGCCAUGCAUGGAGGCAGCAGUGCAGAAGCCAGGCUUUCAGUAAUGAAUACACGCUUAUCCGGCAGUGUGUGUUUUCCAAAGUACUUAAGUUCAAAAGGAUUUCAGACUAAAACCAGCUCAUAUGUCACACCACACAUUUUGCUGGAGGAGAGGACUGAACCUGGAUUGCAGCCUUCCACCAUCACAGAUCAUUUGAAUUCCAUCAUUCCUUGGGGUUUUAGAAUUACUUCCAGUAUUUUCGAAAGAGGUGGUUGGCUAAAGGCUGGGUCCUACUUCACCUGUAAUACCUUUCGCUACGCAGGCUGGCAAGGGAUCCACAGACACAGUGAGUAAUUCCACAGUGCAAUUUUGAAAUAAACAUCAUAUUUCCCCUAAUUAUCUGUAUAAAAAACACGCUCAGUUGUCCUCAUUGUGUAAUAAAUCCCCAUUUUUUAUGUCAUCAUUUUUAUGCUUUGCAC
rnacentral:lncRNA from 1 species